AUUGAACGCUGGCGGCAUGCUUUACACAUGCAAGUCGAACGGCAGCGCGGGCUUCGGCCUGGCGGCGAGUGGCGCACGGGUGAGUAAUGCAUCGGAACGUGCCCAGUAGUGGGGGAUAGCCCGGCGAAAGCCGGAUUAAUACCGCCUACAACCUGAGAGUUAAAGCUGGGGACCGGAAGGCCUCGCGCUAUUUGGGCGCACGAUGUCGGAUUAGCUAGUUGGUGGGGGGACGGCUCACCCAGGCGACGAUCCGUAGCUGGUCUGAGAGGACGACCGCCCCCACUGGCACUGAGACACGGCACAGACUCCUACGGGAGGCAGCAGUGGGGAAUUGUGGACAAUGGGCGCAACUCGGAUCCAGCCAUGCCGCGCGAGGGAAGAAGGCUUUCGGGUUGUAAAUCGCUUUUGUGCGGGAAGAAGUCCUCUGUGCUAAUACCUUGGGGGGAUGACGGUACUGUAAGAAGAAGCACCGGCUAACUACGUG
rnacentral:rRNA from 1 species